rnacentral:rRNA from 1 species
UACGAAGGGGGCUAGCGUUGCUCGGAAUCACUGGGCGUAAAGGGUGCGUAGGCGGGUUCUUAAGUCAGAGGUGAAAUCCUGGAGCUCAACUCCAGAACUGCCUUUGAUACUGAGAGUCUUGAGUACGGGAGAGGUGAGUGGAACUGCGAGUGUAGAGGUGAAAUUCGUAGAUAUUCGCAAGAACACCAGUGGCGAAGGCGGCUCACUGGCCCGUUACUGACGCUGAGGCGCGAAAGCGUGGGGAGCAAACAGG